rnacentral:rRNA from 1 species
UCCACCGAUUGACUAAGGUUUCCAGAGGAAGGCUCGUCCGCUCUGGGUUAGUCGGGUCCUAAGCUGAGGCCGACAGGCGUAGGCGAUGGAUAACAGGUUGAUAUUCCUGUACCACCUAGUAUCGUUUUAAUCGAUGGGGGGACGCAGUAGGAUAGGCGAAGCGUGCUGUUGGAGUGCACGUCCAAGCAGUAAGGCUGAGUGUUAGGCAAAUCCGGCACUCAUAAGGCUGAGCUGUGAUGGGGAGAGGAAAUUGUUUCCUCGAGUCGUUGAUUUCACACUGCCGAGAAAAGCCUCUAGAUAGAUAACAGGUGCCCGUACCGCAAACCGACACAGGUAGUCAAGAUGAGAAUUCUAAGGUGAGCGAGCGAACUCUCGUUAAGGAACUCGGCAAAAUGACCCCGUAACUUCGGGAGAAGGGGUGCUCUUUAGGGUUCACGCCCAGAAGAGCCGCAGUGAAUAGGCCCAAGCGACUGUUUAUCAAAAACACAGGUCUCUGCUAAACCGUAAGGUGAUGUAUAGGGGCUGACGCCUGCCCGGUGCUGGAAGGUUAAGAGGAGUGGUUAGCUUCUGCGAAGCUACGAAUCGAAGCCCCAGUAAACGGCGGCCGUAACUAUAACGGUCCUAAGGUAGCGAAAUUCCUUGUCGGGUAAGUUCCGACCCGCACGAAAGGCGUAACGAUUUGGGCACUGUCUCAACGAGAGACUCGGUGAAAUCAUAGUACCUGUGAAGAUGCAGGUUACCCGCGACAGGACGGAAAGACCCCGUGGAGCUUUACUGUAGCCUGAUAUUGAAAUUCGGCACAGCUUGUACAGGAUAGGUAGGAGCCUUUGAAACGUGAGCGCUAGCUUACGUGGAGGCGUUGGUGGGAUACUACCCUAGCUGUGUUGGCUUUCUAACCCGCACCACUUAUCGUGGUGGGAGACAGUGUCAGGCGGGCAGUUUGACUGGGGCGGUCGCCUCCUAAAAGGUAACGGAGGCGCUCAAAGGUUCCCUCAGAAUGGUUGGAAAUCAUUCAUAGAGUGUAAAGGCAUAAGGGAGCUUGACUGCGAGACCUACAAGUCGAGCAGGGUCGAAAGACGGACUUAGUGAUCCGGUGGUUCCGCAUGGAAGGGCCAUCGCUCAACGGAUAAAAGCUACCCCGGGGAUAACAGGCUUAUCUCCCCCAAGAGUUCACAUCGACGGGGAGGUUUGGCACCUCGAUGUCGGCUCAUCGCAUCCUGGGGCUGUAGUCGGUCCCAAGGGUUGGGCUGUUCGCCCAUUAAAGCGGUACGCGAGCUGGGUUCAGAACGUCGUGAGACAGUUCGGUCCCUAUCCGUCGUGGGCGUAGGAAAUUUGAGAGGAGCUGUCCUUAGUACGAGAGGACCGGGAUGGACAUACCUCUGGUGUACCAGUUGUCGUGCCAACGGCAUAGCUGGGUAGCUAUGUAUGGACGGGAUAAGUGCUGAAAGCAUCUAAGCAUGAAGCCCCCCUCAAGAUGAGAUUUCCCAACUUCGGUUAUAAGAUCCCUCGAAGAUGACGAGGUUAAUAGGUUCGAGGUGGAAGCGUGGUGACACGUGGAGCUGACGAAUACUAAUCGAUCGAAGACUUAAUCAAAUU